GGGGAAUAUUGGACAAUGGGCGAAAGCCUGAUCCAGCAACGCCGCGUGGAGGAUGACGGCCUUCGGGUUGUAAACUCCUUUUUCGGGGGACGAUCGUGACGGUACCCCGGGAAUAAGGCUCGGCUAACUCUGUGCCAGCAGCCGCGGUAAUACAGAGGAGCCAAGCGUUGUCCGGAUUGACUGGGCGUAAAGCGCACGCAGGCGGCACCGCGCGUGGGGUGUGAAAUCUGGCCGCUUAACGGCCAGGCGCCAUCCCAUACGGCGGAGCUGGAGUGAUGCAGAGGUCGGUGGAAUUGCCGGUGUAGUGGUGAAAUGCGUAGAGAUCGGCAGGAACACCCAGGGGGAAACCAGCCGACUGGGCAUCGACUGACGCUGAGGUGCGAGAGCGUGGGGAGCGAAC
rnacentral:rRNA from 1 species